ensembl:lncRNA LINC00662 long intergenic non-protein coding RNA 662
CUUCCUGUGCUCCAUAGGAGGACCCAUUGGACCCCCGGGCUGGCUGCAGGGCCCACACCUGGGUUAGACCUCGCACAGGGACGCUGCUGCCACUGUAAUAAAGCGUGCCUACACGCUUCUGAAACUGGUGUAGGAACAACCUCAGUUCUGUGAAAGGCGGACGCAGCAGGACAGAAUCUCCGUGGACAUCUGUCUGGAGGAGCAAUUUUACUGCGACAUUUUAAAGAAACAAAUUUAAUUGAUUUCCAAGGGUGUCCAUCGCGCUUCCUUCACUGCCUUGAUCAUGUCGGGGUCACCACCUGCGGGGGUUUGUCCUGCAGACCCUGACUCAACGACGGAUGAAUAAUGUACACUGACACAGAUCUUAUGCUUGUCAGUCCUGCUGAGCAUCCAGGCCACUUACAGACUCCAAGAAGAGUCCUGUCAGCCACGGCUCUGACUUGUUGGCCCUCCCGGCAUUUAUUUAGCACACAUUUAAUGACAGAAGUCUCAGGUAAACACCACUAGAAGGCUGGAAACACUCUUUUUGUAGAACAUACAAAUGGACAUUUCUAAGCACAUUGAGGCCUAUAAUGAAAAAUCAAAUAUCCCACAAUGAAAACUAGAAGGAAGCUAUCUGUGAUAAUGCUUUGUGGUGUAUGGAUUCAUCUCACUGACUGAAACCUGAGUUUUGAUUCACCAGGUUGGAAACACUCUUUUUGUAGAAUGUAUGAAGAGAUAUUUCUGAGGCCUGUUGUGAAAAACUGAGGUUUCCACAAGAAAAACUGGAAACAAGUUAUCUGAGAAAAUGCUUUAUGAUGGGUGAAUUCAUCUCACAAAAUUAAACCUUCGUUUUGAUUCAAAAGGUUGCAAACACUCUUUUUGCAGAAUCUAUGAAGGAACAUUUCUGAACCAAUUUUGGCCUAUAGUGGAAAACUGAACAUUCUGUGAUAUAAACUAGAGAAAAGAUAUCUGUGAAAAUGCUUUGCAAUGUGUGGAUUCAUCUCACUGGAUGGAACCUAUGCUUUGAUUUAGUAGGUUGGAAAUACUCAUUUUGUAGAAUCUACAAAGGAUAUUUCUGAGCCCCUUUGAGCCUGUAGUGAAAAAUCAAGGAUCCCAUGAAGAAAAACAGAAAAACACUAUCUGUCAAAAUGCUUAUUGGUGUGUGGAUUCUUCUUACCAAAUGGAACCUGUGUUUUGAUUCACCAGGUUGGAAACACUUUUUUGUAGAGUCUAUGAAGGGACAUUUCUCAGCCCAUUGAGGCCUAUAGUGAUGAACAAAAUAUCCCAUAAUAGAAGCUAGAAAAAAGCUAUUUCCAAAAAUGCUUUGCAAUGUGUGGAUUUAUCUUACAGAAUUAAACCUUUAUUUU